AUGGCGGCCAUAGCGGACGCCGUCCCCGACAAGUUCCAGCCGCCGUUCCUCGAGGGCGGGCUCGUGACCGAGAUCCUCCUGCGGCUCCCUGCCACGGAGGACACCUACCGCGCCGCCGCCGUCUGCCCGCAGUGGCAGGCAUGGCGCGACCUGGUUUUACAGCCACCCUUCCUCUCGCGCCAUCUCUCCCCUCCGCCUCCCCCCCUCCCCCAUGAUGAGCCAGCCACCAUCAUCCUGCAGCCGCGCCGGAAGGUGGAAAACGGCUACGUCCACCUCACCCUCAUCCCCGUCGAACCCAUCAACCCCGCUGAUGGCCCCGUCCAUCUCCAUCUCAACCUCCCCAUCGCCGUCAAGUGGACCUUCCCCGAAAUCGGAGGAACCGAAGCCACCGACGAGCCCGACUUACUCCGUCCUGUCGCCAGCGUCCUCGGCAACCCGUGCGCCCAGUUGCCCGUCGACGCCGCCUCCCCUCCACCGUAUGUCAUCUUCUUCGAGAAGACCGCCCCCAAGCUAGGCAUCUCCAUCGUUGCCUCCCACUCCUCGCUUCUUCUCGGGCGCAGCCGCACCUCAUACUACGUCUGCUACCCGGCGGCGAAUCGAUGGCUCCAGCUUCCUCCACCAAGCCAGCCGUCCAACGACGAAACCGCCUCGCCCGCCAGGGGCAUGCUUCAGAGCGCCAACUGUGGCUUCCACUACGAGGUCGACGCGGCCACGGGCCGCCUCAGGUUCACCGUUGUUGCUCUGUCCAAGUUCAAGGGGCGCAAGGUGUUGGCCAGCGUCUUCACAUCCACGACCGGGACCUGGGCCACGAGGGUGGUGCCUGCCUCUGGCGCCGCUCGCUGCCUCGGCGGCUCCACCAGCUACCAAGGCAAAGACGCCCGCUCCCGCUGCAUCGCGUCCCCAGGUGUGUUCGCCUCCGACGGUUUCUACUGGCUCAGCGAGACACGGAGCCGUGUCCUCUACUACAAUGUCUUCGACGGGCACAUCUCCGUGCUGCGCGUACCAGGCAAGAUCGACGGGGCGAGUCACCGCGUCGAAGCUUCCAUGUCGAUCGGGUAUGCAGAUGGGCGUCUGAGGCUGAUGGCCGUCGACAUCGUGACCAUGAUGAACAGGGUGGAGGGAAGUCUUGGCGUGUGGGACCUCGAUGGAGGCGCCCCCAGGCAGACCGGAGACGGGCAGACCGCCGCGGAGUGGCGCUCCGUGCAUCGGGGGGUGUGGCAGGGGACCUGGAUCGAUUACUCUGGUACGUUUGAGAGUUUCUUGCUGAUCGCCUAUGGUAAAACUCUCCUCCGGUAUGAUCUGACUACGCGUGCCACUACCGAGAUUGCUCGCCUGCGACCCACGUUCAAGCCUACCCGCCUCGACGCCCUUUACCGCAGUUGCAGCAUUUUCCCGUUCUUCAAGUGA
rnacentral:rRNA from 1 species